rnacentral:lncRNA from 1 species
AGACAGUCAGUGCAAAUUCAGUUUAGUGAAAAGCAAGAAAUGACAGUUAGCUUCAGAGCUAGAUUUGGAAGAGAAAAAGAAGGAUUGGACUUUUGAGAUGAAUAAGAUAAAUGUAGAGAAAUAGGUUAUCUACAACUUCUAUAAAGGAAGUUUUGAGAGUUUAAGUGAAAAAAAUGGAGUAAACACAACCUGAACCUUCAGCUCAGAAAAAUUGACAGUUCUGUCAAUAUUGG